UUUUUAAGCGUGUACCUUUCACCAAUGUCACUGUCAAAAAUUUCAGUUAACCACGCGGAGUGUUGGCAACAAAAAAAGAAAAAAAAAAUCCUGUUAUGAAAACAAAAGUUUAAUUUAGUUAGUUCGGUACAUAAAUUCGUUGAAUAAACGUGCAAAAUAGGAUUUGCGUCGACAGUCUGCUGGUAAAUGCCAGGGUACACACGUCUAUGCCGUUUUCGCACAAAGUGGUGGCGGAGAGCACCCGGAAGAGCUUUAGCUUGGAAGUGCGCUAGAGUUGCAAUCGUUGCAAUGCAAGGUAGCGCAUAUUGGAUGCGGAGGAAUAGCGCUUCCAUGAGAGCCGAGGACAAGCAGCGGUACGGGUUGGAAGUGCAGAAAAACGCCCCAAUGGUCGAUCCCCAACACAUCGACGCGACCACUCGGAGUAUUGCCACGACGAAAGUUGCAAUGCUUCAAGGAAUCCGGAGCAAAACUGGUCAAUACAUCGCAAGCCCGUCCCUUCAGCUUCCUCGGAAGUCGCGUCAAGGUAUUUUUGCUGUUCAUCCUGUACGGAUGCAUCAGCGGCUCAUCAAAAACAGGCUGCAAGGUGGGCGGGUGUGAUGUUGACCGCGCUUCAGUUCAUGCUGCUGCUUAUUGAACAUGAUCACUUCUGUCUACCAAACCGAGCAUCAUCAUGGAGUUCAUUCUCAUCAUCAUCAGUCUAAGACGAGCCUCGGCUUCGAUUUUAUACAUCAUAUUUUUAUUAUUAAUAAAUAGUACUGUAGGGGAA